rnacentral:sRNA from 1 species
UUUUUGUUUAUGUUUACAUCAUGUUUGUUUAAACUUCAACUUAUAAAUUGGAUAAAUGUAGGCCACUUAAGAUAAAUUGGAUAAAUGUUUGUUUAAACUUCAACUUAUAAUAUUGAUAUUGUUUAAGGUGCCCGGAGGUUGAAACAAAAUGCGUGCCAUAUCCAAAGAUCUUGGGAAGCUACUGCCUCUAAAAUGAUUGUAGGUUUUCCGAAUCCACGUGUAUAUUGGCCUUUCUAAGAAGUUGAGGAAUUCUUCCACUUCCAAUGCAUAUAAUCGAUACUUCCCAUCAUCCCAGGAAAACCUAGACUCUCUCCAGUAAAGAGUAAUCGUUGUAUAUCUUCUGCUGUGAGUUUCCUUAGGUACUCAUCUCCGAACAAAAGAAUUAUUGUUUUAACAAAAUGAUGCAUGCAUGAAUGCAAAGUGGUUUUACCAAUACGGAGGUAUUCGUCAACCACAUUAGUCGCGCAACCAUAUGCAAGCAUCCACAUUGCCGUUGUACACUUUUGUAAUGUAGAUAAACCAGACCUUCCAGUAGCAUCUCUUCAUUGUUGAAAGAAUGAAAUUUUAUUGGCGAGUCGAGUAAUGAUGCGCAUGAACAAGGACUUGUUCAUUAUAAAAUGGCGUCAAAAUUGAGUAAUAGUGAAAGUUGCAUU